UUAAGCGACUAAGCGUACACGGUGGAUGCCCUGGCAGUCAGAGGCGAUGAAGGACGUGCUAAUCUGCGAAAAGCGCCGGCGAGGUGAUAUGAACCUUUGACCCGGCGAUGUCCGAAUGGGGAAACCCAGUGUGAUUCGUCACACUAUCGUUAACUGAAUACAUAGGUUAACGAGGCGAACCGGGGGAACUGAAACAUCUAAGUACCCCGAGGAAAAGAAAUCAACCGAGAUUCCCCCAGUAGCGGCGAGCGAACGGGGAGCAGCCCAGAGUCUGAAUCAGCUUGUGUGUUAGUGGAAGCGUCUGGAAAGUCGCACGGUACAGGGUGACAGUCCCGUACACGAAAAUGCACAGGUUGUGAACUCGAAGAGUAGGGCGGGACACGUGGUAUCCUGUCUGAAUAUGGGGGGACCAUCCUCCAAGGCUAAAUACUCCUGACUGACCGAUAGUGAACCAGUACCGUGAGGGAAAGGCGAAAAGAACCCCGGCGAGGGGAGUGAAAAAGAACCUGAAACCGUGUACGUACAAGCAGUGGGAGCACCUUCGGGUGUGACUGCGUACCUUUUGUAUAAUGGGUCAGCGACUUAUAUUCUGUAGCAAGGUUAACCGUAUAGGGGAGCCGAAGGGAAACCGAGUCUUAACUGGGCGUUAAGUUGCAGGGUAUAGACCCGAAACCCGGUGAUCUAGCCAUGGGCAGGUUGAAGGUUGGGUAACACUAACUGGAGGACCGAACCGACUAAUGUUGAAAAAUUAGCGGAUGACUUGUGGCUGGGGGUGAAAGGCCAAUCAAACCGGGAGAUAGCUGGUUCUCCCCGAAAGCUAUUUAGGUAGCGCCUCGUGAACUCAUCUUCGGGGGUAGAGCACUGUUUCGGCUAGGGGGCCAUCCCGGCUUACCAACCCGAUGCAAACUACGAAUACCGAAGAAUGUUAUCACGGGAGACACACGGCGGGUGCUAACGUCCGUCGUGAAGAGGGAAACAACCCAGACCGCCAGCUAAGGUCCCAAAGUCAUGGUUAAGUGGGAAACGAUGUGGGAAGGCACAGACAGCCAGGAUGUUGGCUUAGAAGCAGCCAUCAUUUAAAGAAAGCGUAAUAGCUCACUGGUCGAGUCGGCCUGCGCGGAAGAUGUAACGGGGCUAAACCAUGCACCGAAGCUGCGGCAGCGACACUAUGUGUUGUUGGGUAGGGGAGCGUUCUGUAAGCCGUUGAAGGUGUGCUGUGAGGCAUGCUGGAGGUAUCAGAAGUGCGAAUGCUGACAUAAGUAACGAUAAAGCGGGUGAAAAGCCCGCUCGCCGGAAGACCAAGGGUUCCUGUCCAACGUUAAUCGGGGCAGGGUGAGUCGACCCCUAAGGCGAGGCCGAAAGGCGUAGUCGAUGGGAAACAGGUUAAUAUUCCUGUACUUGGUGUUACUGCGAAGGGGGGACGGAGAAGGCUAUGUUAGCCGGGCGACGGUUGUCCCGGUUUAAGCAUGUAGGCGGAACGAUUAGGUAAAUCCGGUCGUUUAUUAACGCUGAGGUGUGAUGACGAGGCACUACGGUGCUGAAGUAACAAAUGCCCUGCUUCCAGGAAAAGCCUCUAAGCAUCAGGUAACAUUAAAUCGUACCCCAAACCGACACAGGUGGUCAGGUAGAGAAUACCAAGGCGCUUGAGAGAACUCGGGUGAAGGAACUAGGCAAAAUGGUGCCGUAACUUCGGGAGAAGGCACGCUGAUAUGUAGGUGAAGCCCCUGCGGGUGGAGCUGAAAUCAGUCGAAGAUACCAGCUGGCUGCAACUGUUUAUUAAAAACACAGCACUGUGCAAACACGAAAGUGGACGUAUACGGUGUGACGCCUGCCCGGUGCCGGAAGGUUAAUUGAUGGGGUUAGCGGCAACGCGAAGCUCUUGAUCGAAGCCCCGGUAAACGGCGGCCGUAACUAUAACGGUCCUAAGGUAGCGAAAUUCCUUGUCGGGUAAGUUCCGACCUGCACGAAUGGCGUAAUGAUGGCCAGGCUGUCUCCACCCGAGACUCAGUGAAAUUGAACUCGCUGUGAAGAUGCAGUGUACCCGCGGCAAGACGGAAAGACCCCGUGAACCUUUACUAUAGCUUGACACUGAACACUGGUCCUUGAUGUGUAGGAUAGGUGGGAGGCUUUGAAGUGUGGACGCCAGUCUGCAUGGAGCCGUCCUUGAAAUACCACCCUUUAAUGGCUGGUGUUCUAACGUAGACCCGUAAUCCGGGUUGCGGACAGUGUCUGGUGGGUAGUUUGACUGGGGCGGUCUCCUCCCAAAGAGUAACGGAGGAGCACGAAGGUUAGCUAAUCCUGGUCGGACAUCAGGAGGUUAGUGCAAUGGCAUAAGCUAGCUUGACUGCGAGAGUGACGGCUCGAGCAGGUGCGAAAGCAGGUCAUAGUGAUCCGGUGGUUCUGAAUGGAAGGGCCAUCGCUCAACGGAUAAAAGGUACUCCGGGGAUAACAGGCUGAUACCGCCCAAGAGUUCAUAUCGACGGCGGUGUUUGGCACCUCGAUGUCGGCUCAUCACAUCCUGGGGCUGAAGUAGGUCCCAAGGGUAUGGCUGUUCGCCAUUUAAAGUGGUACGCGAGCUGGGUUUAGAACGUCGUGAGACAGUUCGGUCCCUAUCUGCCGUGGGCGCUGGAGAAUUGAGGGGGGCUGCUCCUAGUACGAGAGGACCGGAGUGGACGCAUCACUGGUGUUCGGGUUGUCAUGCCAAUGGCACUGCCCGGUAGCUAAAUGCGGAAAAGAUAAGUGCUGAAAGCAUCUAAGCACGAAACUUGCCCCGAGAUGAGUUCUCCCUGAGACUUUAAGUCUCCUGAAGGAACGUUGAAGACGACGACGUUGAUAGGUCGGGUGUGUAAGCGCAGCGAUGCGUUGAGCUAACCGAUACUAAUGAACCGUGAGGCUUAACCUU
rnacentral:rRNA from 2 species